rnacentral:lncRNA from 1 species
UAAAUUUGGAUUUAGUAGAGUUUCUCUCUCUUCCUCAGGUCUUAAACAUUCCUCAGGAUGGUCUUCUGUAAGCUUCCGCAACCCCACUUGUCAAUGAAAGCAUUUCCUUCAUCUCCUGGGCUACCUUCCAAAAAGGAGGUCACUCAUAUUCUGGACAUGGAGACUAUAUCUCAGAACUCUGCCUCUUUUUCCUUUGGACUGAGGAUGAAAUCAAUGCACAGGUGUCAC